AGCAAGCCGUUGCCUUGUUUUAGACUUCCUGGUUGUCUAGAAAGUUCCUGUAAGGUUGCCUGGCUCUGCUCUCUCCAUGAACGCUGGAGAGCAGUGCGUUGCUGGUGCCUACUGGAUGAAAAGUGAUCCCGGAGAGAAAUACUUACAAAUUUUAGGAGAGCCUACAACAAAGCUUCUUUCUUUUUCUUUUCCUUCCCAAGCUGGACAUCUGCUUUUCUGUCAGGCUUGUAGAGCUGAGCUUGUACGACUGGAGCAGCUAAAGGGACCCUGCCAGAAGGACCCAUUGCAAGUCUGAGGAGUUAUAGUGUAAUACAGCUGGAACGUAUAAAGGAGUUGAACUCAGGAUCUUGCAUUUGCCAGGCAGGCACUUAUGCCACUGAUCUAUUUCCCUGAUCCAGGACUAACUCCCUUUAAAGCACAAAUAGUAAACAGGGAACCACAAUCAACAAUUUAUCUCUUACCUUAGAAGGGAUAACUUUGCAUGUACCACACUGUGGGACUUCUAGAAAUUUCACUGAGUUGCAGAUGCUGGGUAUUUUGUCCCAGAGAUGAAGAAAUGACUAAGACAACUUAUAAACCUGGAACCAAGGAGUCUAUGGCUACUUAAAAGAUUAAUAUUAAAAACAAACCCAGUGCUUGCAUCAAGACAAUAGCAAAUGUCUUGAGGACAUUUGAAAAGAAAGUGACUAGACAUUGGUUUCAUCUAUAAGGUGCUGCUUUUUCAGAAAGGAUGAAGGCAAGAGUUGUGGGGUCAUGGAUUCUUCUAACUACAUUUCAGUGGAAGGCUUUGGAGGCUUAAGAAUGUGUCCCAGGGAGGGUGAUGCAUGAGACUCUGAGAGUGAAGCAGGAGGUGCAAUGAAGAUCUCAGAGUGUUGGAGAUGCCAAAAACAAGGAACACCUGCUGAGGAAUGUCUGUUAGUGCAGCCAGCCCAAGACAGAGAUCAUGCAAGAUACAAUCCCUGCAAGGCCAUAGGGACAGGACUUCCAGAGCCCGUUGGAUUUUACAUCCUCAUAUAAAAUGUCUCUGGGCCUGGAAUUGGAGCUAUGGGAUUUGGUGUUGAUUCUGGUGGAUUUGGGUCUUAUUGUAGUCUGAUUCUUUUCUAUACCCCUAUUCCUUCUUUUUGGAAUGGAAAUAUUUACCCCGUGACAUUGUAUGAUGGAAAUGUUCAAAUUUCUUUUUGGUGUUACAGUGGAUCACAGCUAAGAGUUUGCCUUGAGUCACCAAGAAUUUGGACUUGGACUUUUAAGCAAUACUAUGAUUGUGAAGUCUUCGGUGAUUUGUAAAACAUGGAUUGAUGCAAUUUGCAUAUUGAUAGAGACAUGUGAAUUUGAGGUCCAGGACUGUAACUUUAUAUUAUGCUCUAAAAUGUCCCCCCAGAAUUCACAUGUGUUUGGAGCAGGGCCAUUUGAAAGGUGACUGGAUCAUGGGGGUAUUGGUAUGAUGAUAAAUUUAUUGCUGAGUGUACUGCUAGGAGAUAGAGCUUCAGCAGAAGGGGCAGGUGACUUGGGCUGUGAUCUGAAAGGGUAUGUUCCCUUCUCUGACUCCUGUCCCUUUCUCUGCUUUUGGCUGACAUGAGUUGAAUAGCUUUCUUCUGCUGUACUCUUUACCAUUACAUUUCUGCACUGGAACCAGUCAACCACGGAUUGAGCCAACCAUCUGAAAACAUGUGUGAAAAUAAACCUCUCCUUCUUAAA